rnacentral:lncRNA from 1 species
GUAAAAGGAGACAUGUCAUCCCAUCCCCAGUAGGAGAUGUUGAUCUUGCGUAAACCUACCCAAGGUGAAAUUUUCUGAAGUGUGUACUUCUGUAUUUCAUCCAGAACAAAUUCCACUUCUUUUGAGGUUGUUAAUGAAGCAAGAUUCCCACUUAAAUUGUAGCAGUACAGUUUGGCAUUGUCAUAGCUUUCACGACUAGAAUUUAUGCGGAGGCAGGCAUCUCCAAUGUGACUCCAUCCUUCCCCACACAGGUGAGCAGGUAAGGCCUGGCACUCCUGCUGCCGCUGGUCCCACUGGCAGUUCAGGUGCAGCGAGCAGCUCUUGCAGCUGGUCAGCUUAUUGCAGAUCUGUUCAUUUCUCACAUGACAUUUGGUGUAGUUUUU